AGAAUAAAAGCAGGCUGCGGAGCCAGCAGCGACAAUCGGUUGGGGUGUUUUUCAGGUGUGUGGGUGGUUUAGUUUUUUCGCUGUUUGGGGCCAUAUUGCUUUUAUGAGCUGUGACACUCACCGCGAAAGUCUGCGAAGCUUCAUUCAUGUAAGCCCCCGAGACCACGAACCUGCCGAGAGGAACGAACAAUUGUAGACGCGCCGCCUUAAGAGCUCUAACACUCACCGCGAAGGUCCGCAACUUCACUCCUGAGCCAGCGAGACCAGGAACCCACCAGAAGGAAAAAACUCUGGAACACAUCGGAAUAUCAGAAAGAACAAACUCCAGACACGCCGCCUUUAACAACUGUAACACUCACAGCGAGUGUCUGCACUUCAUUCUUGAAGUUAGUAAGAUCAAGAACCCACCACUUCCGGACACAAAAGAGGGAGAGACGUAAGGCAGAAGAAGAUUACAUGUACGAGUUGACAGCAUAAUUCACUGGCAGAAUUCCAAAAAGAUGCUAUCAGUCCAAAAGAAAAUGAUUCUGGGGAGCCAUCUGUUCUCCAGCUGCAGAGAUGUUUCUCUAAAGUGCAAUAAGUAUUGUUGAAACCAUCUUUACUGUAGCGGAAGUCAAUCACAGUCUGGAUUCAGAUGGGAGCUGGUUUAAGCAUUCAGAUGAAGAGAUACUUCGUCAUUUCUACCAGUGAGUCAACUUUAUGACCUAUCUACAACUUUGGCAUUUGCAAACUCAGGUUAAGCAGGGAUGGUUAGAGAGUUUAUUUGAUCUUUUAAAUUAUAAAACUUAUGCAAUGAGUCCAAAAAAGAUGGAUUACCUUGAGUAGGUAAAAUAGUUAUAUUUGUUAAAUUGACCAAGGAUAAAUAAAAA
rnacentral:lncRNA from 1 species